rfam:Schistosoma rodhaini strain Burundi genome assembly, scaffold: SROB_scaffold0000114
GCACUGCUGAGGAGUUCCACAAUAGGACGAAACGGCCGUCAUGUGC